AUGAGAAAAAUGGAAAAGAUUUGCAACAAUUAUUAUAAGAAACCAUCAAGAAUAAUGAAACUACUUCACUCUGACCUCAUAUUACAAUCCUGUUGUGCUUACCAGGGAGGAAAAAAAAUUAAAGACAACAAAGAUGGGAAGAACAUUGAGACUGGACCAAAUAUAGAUAUGGAAGAGAACCAUAUUGGAGACAAUACAAUUGUGAAGGCUGAUUUUCAAGAUUGUGAGCUCUUCGAUGGCAAGGACCCAGUUUUCUGACUCUCUUCGUAUCCUCAGAACUUGGUACAAUGCUUGCUAUGAGUGACUAAUAAAUUAUUGCUGAUGGACUCA
rnacentral:lncRNA from 1 species